CCGGUCAAAUCACGCUGAAAACACCGGUUCUCGUUCGAUCACCGAAGUUAAGCAUCGUAGAGCCAGGUCAGUACUUAGAUGGGGGACCGCUUGGGAACACCUGGUACUGUAAG